AAUUGACUUGUUUUUUGUUAUUUCUUUCUACAUUGAUUGGUAAUUGUGAUGCGUAUUUUAUCUAUUGUAUACAUAAUUAAUUGGGUGCGUGAUGUGUUUCACAAGUUGAUAUGAGUACCAAGGGGAAGAGUAAACGACAGAGGUCCCCAUAGGUAGACGACCGGGGGUAUAAACCAGUACUUCCAAAGCAUGUGGAAGGGCAGAACCAGAUGGGGUAUCAGUCUCAGCCGUCUCCAUAUGACACGGAUGGAGAGUAUCAUACGCCUAGUCCACUGCCUACGAUGAGCGAGUUAGGGAUAUGUUCACAUGGCCAUGUAGAGCGGGUAAUCCUCCUCGACGAGAACACAGGUUUGAACUACAAUGAGCCAUCGCAACUAGAGGACAACGAGACACAGGCACAGGCGGACGAGGAUGAUGGGACAGGUGCCAUGCAUGACUCAUAGCCUGAUGACCCUACUCUACAAGUGUUGGGCAGUCGCCAGGUCCAGACAAUAAGCAUCGGUUGAGAUAGGCGUACUCAUAUUUAAGUAGUGACCAUUAAACCAUCGAACAAAACGUGAAAUGUCCCCAGCGGGUAAAAGGUCGUGUGCGAGUACAAUAGAGUGUGACAGCCCGUAGGAUUUAGUGGGUUAAAAUUCCGAAUGACGACCUGCAACAUCAUAAGGAGAGGGAAUUAUGUUAGAUUAUGGGAUGACUGGAUGGAGGUACCACCCUGUAAGAAGGAGGAUAUAUGGGAAGCCUUGAUGACGGACUUCUACAUCCCGCCUAAGUACAAUCUUGAUGCGAUAAAAAAGGACGCAUUUCGAGAUAUGGGCGUGAAGCUGAAGAGUUGAAGACACUCAGUGAAAGAAGCGAUGAAAAUUCAGUUGGGCAAUACUUCUGACACCGUGAAUGCGAGAAUGAGUCAAGAUGCCGUUAGGAAAUACGACGCCUACGACUUGGAUGUGUUGUUGGAUAAAUGGUGCGACCCGAAGAAUCAGGAGUAUGCUGCUUAUAUAAAGGCAUUGUGAGCAAAAAACAACACAUCUCAUUGUAUCGAGUCGAUGAGCUUUGCUAGGGUGACACAUGAAGAGACCUUAUCUGUGGGCACCUUUGCUACUCGAGCGCAAAUUUACAUCUCGACACACACAAAGAAGGAUGGUGACUAUCCAAAUGAUAUGGUUAGGGAGAGAUGUAUAAGAGAGGAUGAAGGAAUUGAUACCCACUGGCCCUGCAUUGAUCUCAAGCGUGACUGAAAGGACGGUACGGUGGACACCAAAUGUCGCGUAUGCUCAGGCGCACGAAAAUAAGCUUGAGUACGCUAGCAGGGUCUGACAAGUGGGUCCGAAUGUUCUACCGGUGCAGGGCAGCAUACACUCGUACUAUACACCGUUCCAGGCACGAUCGCAGAACCUUGGGAACUCCUCGUUCUCACAGAUGACGAAUAUGAUUAGAGAACUUGAAGAAGAGGCACAACAAAGAGUUGCGAUGGAUCAGAUGGCCAAAUAGAUUGAAGAACAAAAAGCUCAGAUGACAGAAAAAGAUGCGAUGAUUGAGGCCCGUUUCUACCAGCUUGAGGCCAUGCUCUCGUCGACCUCUGGAUCCGUGACCGACAGAGGUAAUGCAGAUAAGGUGUUGGGAAAUGAUUAUGUUGACUUAGACUAAGCACGUGGUUUCUCAUUGUUGUUUGUUAAGUUGUAUAUAUAUUUUGUUACUAUUUGUUGAUGUAUAUAGUUAGAUCAAACUAUAUGUUUGUUGAGACUAGUUGGAACUUAUAUGUGUUGUAUAUUUGUCUUUAAUUGUAUAUUUGUAGCAGAUAGAACAAAUAUAGUUUGAUUGUAUA